rnacentral:rRNA from 1 species
GAGCGAACGGGGAGCAGCCCAGAGCCUGAAUCAGUGUGUGUGUUAGUGGAAGCGUCUGGAAAGGCGUGCGAUACAGGGUGACAGCCCCGUACACAAAAAUGCACAUAUUGUGAGCUCGAUGAGUAGGGCGGGACACGUGGUAUCCUGUCUGAAUAUGGGGGGACCAUCCUCCAAGGCUAAAUACUCCUGACUGACCGAUAGUGAACCAGUACCGUGAGGGAAAGGCGAAAAGAACCCCGGCGAGGGGAGUGAAAAAGAACCUGAAACCGUGUACGUACAAGCAGUGGGAGCACGCUUAGGCGUGUGACUGCGUACCUUUUGUAUAAUGGGUCAGCGACUUAUAUUCUGUAGCAAGGUUAACCGAAUAGGGGAGCCGAAGGGAAACCGAGUCUUAACUGGGCGUUAAGUUGCAGGGUAUAGACCCGAAACCCGGUGAUCUAGCCAUGGGCAGGUUGAAGGUUGGGUAACACUAACUGGAGGACCGAACCGACUAAUGUUGAAAAAUUAGCGGAUGACUUGUGGCUGGGGGUGAAAGGCCAAUCAAACCGGGAGAUAGCUGGUUCUCCCCGAAAGCUAUUUAGGUAGCGCCUCGUGAAUUCAUCUCCGGGGGUAGAGCACUGUUUCGGCAAGGGGGUCAUCCCGACUUACCAACCCGAUGCAAACUGCGAAUACCGGAGAAUGUUAUCACGGGAGACACACGGCGGGUGCUAACGUCCGUCGUGAAGAGGGAAACAACCCAGACCGCCAGCUAAGGUCCCAAAGUCAUGGUUAAGUGGGAAACGAUGUGGGAAGGCCCAGACAGCCAGGAUGUUGGCUUAGAAGCAGCCAUCAUUUAAAGAAAGCGUAAUAGCUCACUGGUCGAGUCGGCCUGCGCGGAAGAUGUAACGGGGCUAAACCAUGCAC